ACGGGAGGCAGCAGUGGGGAAUAUUGGACAAUGGGGGAAACCCUGAUCCAGCGACGCCGCGUGAGUGAAGAAGUAUUUCGGUAUGUAAAGCUCUAUCAGCAGGAAAGAAAAUGACGGUACCUGACUAAGAAGCCCCGGCUAGCUACGUGCCAGCAGCCGCGGUAAUACGUAGGGGGCAAGCGUUAUCCGGAUUUACUGGGUGUAAAGGGAGCGUAGACGGUUUGGCAAGUCUGAAGUGAAAUGCCGGGGCUCAACCCCGGAACUGCUUUGGAAACUGUCGAACUAGAGUGCAGGAGAGGUAAGUGGAAUUCCUAGUGUAGCGGUGAAAUGCGUAGAUAUUAGGAGGAACACCAGUGGCGAAGGCGGCUUACCGGACUGUAACUGACGUUGAGGCUCGAAGGCGUGGGGAGCAAACAGGAUUAGAUACCCUGGUA
rnacentral:rRNA from 1 species